UCUCGAUUGGUCUAGUGGUCAGGAUACCUGCUUGUCAUUGUACAAGUACGCAGGUGGCCGGGGUUCGAUUCCCCGAUCGAGAG
rnacentral:tRNA from 2 species